GGCCCUAGGGUUGUAAAACUCUUUCGUCAGGGAAGAUAAUGACGGUACCUGAAGAAGAAGAUCCGGCUAACUCCGUGCCAGCAGCCGCGGUAAUACGGAGGGGUCUAGCGUUAUUCGGAAUUACUGGGCGUAAAGCGAGCGUAGGCGGAUUUGUAAGUUGGAGGUGAAAUCCCAGAGCUUAACUCUGGAACUGCCUUCAAAACUACAUUUCUUGAGUUUGGUAGAGGAGAGUGGAAUUCCUAGUGUAGAGGUGAAAUUCGUAGAUAUUAGGAGGAACACCAGUGGCGAAGGCGACUCUCUGGGCCAAUACUGACGCUGAGGUUCGAAAGCAUGGGUAGCGAACAGGAUUAGAUACCCUGGUAGUCCAUGCAGUAAACGAUGAGUGCUAGAUGUUGGGAAUUUAAAUUUCCAGUAUCGCAGUUAACGCGUUAAGCACUCCGCCUGGGAAGUACGGCCGCAAGGCUAAAACUCAAAUGAAUUGACGGGGACCCGCACAAGCGGUGGAUCAUGUGGUUUAAUUCGAAGAUACGCGAAGAACCUUACCGGCCCUUGACAUACCAAUCGCGGACUUAAGAGAUUAAGUCUUUCACUUCGGGUGGAUUGGAUACAGGUGCUGCAUGGCUGUCGUCAGCUCGUGUCGUGAGAUGUUGGGUUAAGUCCCGCAACGAGCGCAACCCUUACCUUCAAUUGCCAGCACAUAAUGGUGGGAACUUUGAAGGAACUGCCGGUGAUAAGCCGGAGGAAGGUGGGGAUGACGUCAAGUCCUCAUGGCCCUUACGGGCCGGGCUACACACGUGAUACAAUGGUAACUACAAAGGGCAGCGAAGGAGCGAUCUGGAGCAAAUCUCAAAAAGUUACCUCAGUUCGGAUUGCACUCUGCAACUCGAGUGCAUGAAGUUGGAAUCGCUAGUAAUCGUAGAUCAGCGCGCUACGGUGAAUACGUUCCCGGGUCUUGUACACACCGCCCGUCACACCAUGGGAGUUGGUUUUACCUGAAGCUGGUUCGCUAACCGUAAGGAGGCAGCCAACCACGGUAAGAUUAGCGACUGGGGUGAAGUCGUAACAAGGUAACCGUAGGGGAACCUGCGGUUG
rnacentral:rRNA from 1 species